rnacentral:rRNA from 1 species
CCCUUAGAUGUUCUGGGCCGCACGCGCGCUACACUGACGAUGUCAACGAGUCUCUCCUUGGCCGAAAGGUCUGGGUAAUCUUCUGAAACAUCGUCGUGCUGGGGAUAGAUCAUUGCAAUUUUUGAUCUUGAACGAGGAAUUCCUAGUAAGCGCGAGUCAUCAGCUCGCGUUGAUUACGUCCCUGCCCUUUGUACACACCGCCCGUCGCUACUACCGAUUGAAUGGUUUAGUGAGGACUCCUGAUUGGCGCCGCCGCCCCGGCAACGGAGCAGUGGACUGCCGAAAAGUUGUUCAAACUUGAUCAUUUAGAGGAAGUAAAAGUCGUAACA